CUUUACUCUAGCUUGGCACUGAGUCGUACAUAUAUUUGUGCAGGAUAGGUGGGAGACUAUGAAGGAUGGACGCCAGUUCAUCUCGAGUCGUCGUUGAGAUACCACCCUUGUAUAUGUAUGCCUCUAACCCCUUAUUGGGGGACCGUGCUUGGUGGGGAGUUUAGCUGGGGCGGUUGCCUCCUAAAAUGUAACGGAGGCGCACAAAGGUAGGCUAGGUCCGGAUGGAAAUCGGACUGGUCGUGUAUUCGCACAAGCCUGCUUGACUGAGAGACCUACAAGUCGAUCAGAGACGAAAGUCGGUGAAAGUGAUCCGGCACCAACACGUGGGAGUGGUGUCGCUCAACGGAUAAAAGUUA
rnacentral:rRNA from 1 species